UAGGCUAUUAUAACAGCCACCCACUACUUCCAUUUCUCGAUACACAUCAAACCCCCUCAAUCCAUCAGAUCAAAACACAGAGAGAGAGAGAGAGAGAGAAAGAGAGAGAGGAAGAGAAGAAGCACAGACACCACGACACAGAGAAGACGGUGAACUUCCGAUCGGCGAGACCACUCCGGCAAAUGCACAUCUUCAACUGCUAAAUCGCGGAAAGCUGCAAAGAAUGGCUGCGGAUGUAAAGAUACGCAAAAACAAACUACGAAGGCGAGAACACUUGACAACCUCCUAGAAGAUUGUGCGGUGCACAUAAGGAAGUGAUCGAUGAGAACGAUCAAUUGCAGCUGAAUGAAUAUAACCCUAGUGGUGGCAGCUACGUAAUUAGCGAGCUCUGGAAUUUCAAGGAAAACCGAAAAGCUACACUAAAGGGGUUAUCAGCUACAUUCUGAAGUGCACCAAUCAAUAAAGAUCCACAAUUUUGUUACACCAGUACAGCGCCUUGUUUACGUUGUAUGUUACGGUGUAUGUUACAGUGUAUGUUACGGUGUAUGUUACGGUGUAUGUUACGGUGUAUGUUACGGUGUAUGUUACGGUGUAUGUUACGGUGUAUGUUACGGUUUUUUGAUAUCAAGUCUGAAAGUUCUGUCAA